rnacentral:tRNA from 1 species
GUCCCCAUCGUCUAGAGGCCUAGGACACAAGGUUUUCAUCCUUGUAACAGGGGUUCGACUCCCCUUGGGGACGCCA